UACGAAGGGGGCUAGCGUUGUUCGGAAUCACUGGGCGUAAAGGGCGCGUAGGCGGCUUUAUAAGUCGGGGGUGAAAGCCUGUGGCUCAACCACAGAAUUGCCUUCGAUACUGUAGAGCUUGAGACCGGAAGAGGUAAGUGGAACUGCGAGUGUAGAGGUGAAAUUCGUAGAUAUUCGCAAGAACACCAGGGGCGAAGGCGGCUUACUGGUCCGGUUCUGACGCUGAGGCGCGAAAGCGUGGGGAGCAAACAGG
rnacentral:rRNA from 1 species